rnacentral:rRNA from 1 species
GUGGGGAAUCUUGCGCAAUGGGCGAAAGCCUGACGCAGCCAUGCCGCGUGAAUGAUGAAGGUCUUAGGAUUGUAAAAUUCUUUCACCGGGGACGAUAAUGACGGUACCCGGAGAAGAAGCUCCGGCUAACUUCGUGCCAGCAGCCGCGGUAAUACGAAGGGGGCUAGCGUUGCCCGGAAUUACUGGGCGUAAAGGGCGCGUAGGCGGACAGCUUAGUCAGAGGUGAAAGCCCAGGGCUCAACCUUGGAAUUGCCUUUGAUACUGGCUGUCUUUAGUUUGAGAGAGGUGAGUGGAACUCCGAGUGUAGAGGUGAAAUUCGUAGAUAUUCGGAAGAACACCAGUGGCGAAGGCGACUCACUGGCCCAAUACUGACGCUGAGGCGCGAAAGCGUGGGGAGCAAACAGGAUUAGAAACCCGAGUAGUCC